AGAGCCCUGAGUUCAAAUGCCAGCUCUGCUGUGUGACCCUGGCAGGUUACUCACCUUCUCUGAGCCUCCCUUUUCCAACAGGUAUAAUGGAAAUAUGACCUACCUUAUGGGCUGGUGUGAUGGGGAAAUGGCUUAACAAACAAAUGAGAUGCCUGCAACCCCCAAAAGUCCCUUCCUGUCCCCUUUCACCAUAUCUCCUCCCCUUCCUCAGUCUCAGGGGCCUGUAGCACCCCUUCCCCCGGCCUUGAUUGCUCUCGGGGGACCACUGUGUGGGUUGCUUUCACCAUGUGGACAGUAAUCCUCUGAGUGGCUCCCUCCCCAGGCACUUCCGCAUUCCUGAUCUGCCUUUUCCCUGAGCUUCCGAAGACUUUCUCCCCGGGAAGAAGCACAGCUGAACUGAGAAUGAACAACCUCAAGGGGGGGCUCCCCGCUGGAUUGCCCCUGCCUGACACCCCAUGCUGGCAACCAGAGGCUGAUUCUGCCCGACUGCCUCCAGCUCCUCGAGUGUUCAGCCUGGGUUCCAGAGGGAGGCCAUACAGCCCCGUCAGAGACCACCAGGGAAGUAUCACAGACCGCAGCCAGCGGGUGAGCUCAGCUGGGAGUUUGCACCAAGCCUGGCUCCGGAGUGUGGCCUGACUGACGCAGGCUGGGACCACCCUACAUGGGCCGGCAGAAAUGGCCAUAGCGAACUACCGUGCGUCCAACCUGAGACACCUGGGGAUGGUGGAGCCAGGGGAGA
rnacentral:lncRNA from 1 species